rnacentral:lncRNA from 1 species
GCCGGUCACACCACCACACCAUGGAAGAAAGAGGUAGCCUGUUAAACCCACACCUUCUCUUCUUCCACCUCUACUGUCCGGUUGCACUGGGAAAGCCAGAAGCUGCCCCUCUCGGCGGAGAGGUUUGAAAGAACGAGCAAACGGAUCAAAGAAGGGAGAGAAAUGAAGAAAAUAAAGACGGCACUCCAGCUUACAGGAUCUAUAAGCCGUGUUUCCUGAAAAGAUAAAUGAUUUCCUAAUGAAUGGAUCCUUUAGGCCAUAAAAAAUCCAUUUAUUUUCUUUUGGAUUUGAAUAGAGGGGAUUUGCAUUUUUUCCAGUGCAGCCCCAUUUAAAUUAAAAUGCAGAGCAUGAGGCUAGCCUACAAUGCAACUAAAUAAUAGUGGGAGGGGCCGCUGUAUUCUUCCUAGGAGCUCAGAGUUUGCUAGCUUUGCCAUAGGAAAAAAGCAGACACUGGUACCAACACCUACUGUUGCAGAAGAGAAUACCACAAGGCCGUUCGGGACACCUUCGAGGCGUGCGAGAAGCUGGGCGGUUGGUUGUGAUCAUGUUUCGUUUAUUCAGGAAACUAGGCAAUGUGUUUAUCUAAGAGGGAAUCUGCCAUUUCGAAAACGGCUGCAGUUCUGACAGCAGCAAAAUAGGUCCUGGUGUCUAAUUAUACUUAGAAGAGGGCAACUUAAAAAAUAAUGAUAAUAAUAAAAGCAGUAGAAUCAAGAUUCCACCCCCCCCAAAAAAAA